UACGGAGGGAGCUAGCGUUAUUCGGAAUUACUGGGCGUAAAGCGCACGUAGGCGGCUUUGUAAGUAAGAGGUGAAAGCCUGGAGCUCAACUCCAGAACUGCCUUCGAUACUGGGAAUCUUGAGUCCGGGAGAGGUGAGUGGAACUGCGAGUGUAGAGGUGAAAUUCGUAGAUAUUCGCAAGAACACCAGUGGCGAAGGCGGCUCACUGGACCAUUACUGACGCUGAGGCACGAAAGCUAGGGGAGCAAACAGG
rnacentral:rRNA from 1 species